GCAUAGAUGCAUGCUGGAUAGCGGUCUAUGUUCUUUGUCGUAAUGCCCUAAGUAAAUCUCAUCGUAGUCAUCAUGAUAUGUAUGUGCAUUGUUAUGCCCUCUCUAUUUGCCAAUUGCCCAACUGUAAUUUUUUCACCCAACAUGUUAUUUAUCUUAUUGGAGAGAUACCACUAGUGAACUGUGGACCCCGGUCCAUUCUUUUACAUCUGAAAUACAACCUACUGCAAUUACUGUUCUCUGUUGUUCUUUGCAAGCAAACAUCAUUCUCCACACCAUACGGUUAAUCCUUUGUUUACAGCAAGCCGGUGGGAUUGACAACCUCACUGUUAAGGUGGGGCAAAGUAUCUUGAUUGUGUUGUGCAGGUUCCACGUUGGCGCCGGAAUCCCUGGUGUUGCGCCGCACUACACUCCUUCGCCAACAACCUUCACGUGGCCUUCAUCUCCUACUGGUUCGAUAAACCUUGGUUUCUUACUGAGGGAAAACUUGCUGUUGUAUGCAUCACCCCUUCCUCUUGGGGUUCCCAACGGACGUGUGCUUUACCGUCACAAGGAGCUACCUUCUGGCACCGUUGCAAGCCAACUCCCACGCCAGCAUCUACUUUUCUGGCGCCGUUGCCAGGGAGAUCAAGACACGCUGCAAGGGGAGUCUCUCACACCCAAUCUCUUUACUUUGUUUAUUGUGUUGCUUUAUUUUAUUUUCUGUCUUGUUUGCUUUCUUUAUAUCAAAAACACAAAAAAAUUAGUUACUUGCAUUUACUUUAUUUAUCAGUUUACCUUAGUUUAUUUCAUCAUGCUUCUCCCUAAGUUCACUUUGAAAGAUAUAUCAGUAGGGCGUGGGUCUAUCAUUGGAAGAGAUAAUAUAGAAGAAUUUUGCACUCAUGUUAGUAAGGUUAAAGAUUUUGAAGAUAGAUCCUUGGUGGAACUUGCUCCUAAUUAUGAAAUUGCUACUGCCUCUUUAGUGCACAUGUUGGAAGCUAGAUUUGUUAAUCUUAAUCCUAUAAUGCAACAGAUGUUUCUUACACUCUGUGAUAUGGAAGAAGGAGAGAAGAAAGAUUUUAUUUUAGAAACCCUUCUUAAAGAAUUUGGUGAUGUAGCUAGAGAAGCUAGAAAAGUCUUUAUUCAACAUAAGAUGCUUGGCUUCUAUACCAAUUUUGCAAGUACCCUUGAAAAGAUGGAAAAAGAUAGGCUAAAGUACACUAAUGAAGCCAAUUGUGAGGGGGAUACUAAAGUACCAAUACCUUAUAAGCUCAUAGGAAUGCAUGAGGCACUAGAAAAGAAUUUUGAUUGGAUUGUUCCCGAAAAUUUAUUUGAGGAGGAUAGUAAGCCUAAAAGUAAUGAAAGAGGAGCUUCUGAAACUUACAUAGAUAAGAUACAAUGCAUUGUUGAGAAAACCCCCAACUCCUGUGUUGAUGCUUCUUCUCUUGAUGUUACUUGAUUUACACUUUCUGCGCCUAGCUGAAAGGCGUUAAAGAAAAGCGCUUAUGGGAGACAACCCAUUAUUUUAUUUCUGCAAUUUUUGUUUUAUAUUUGAGUCAAGGUGCUUGUUACUACUGUAGCUAUACCUUUGUAUGUUUACUUUACUGCAUUGUUGUGCCAAGUAAAGUCUUUGAUAAAGAGUUGAUACUAGAUUUGGAUUUCUGCGCAGAAAUAGAUUUUUAGCUGUCACGAAUUUGAGUUGUUCUCUCCGUAGGAGAAUCUAAAAAUUCUGUAAACAUUCAUGAGUAAUCCUCAGAUAUGUACGCAACUUUCAUUCAAUUUGAGCUUCUUCAUCUGAGCAUGUUAAGUGCCUCGAAAAAUUUCAUCUUUACGGACUGUUUUGUUUUGACAGAUUCUGCAUUUUAUUUUACAUUGCCUCCUUUACUAUGUUUGAGUGGAUUUCUUUGCUCCAUUAAAUUUCAGUAGCCUUGGGUAAUAUCCAGAAGUGUUGGGAAUGAUUGUGUCCUCGCUGAACAUGUGAAUUUUUGAUUAUGCACUAACCCUCUAAUGAGAUUGUUUUGAGUUUGGUGUGAAGGAAGUUUUUAAGGAUCAAGAGUGGAGGAUGGUAUAAUAUGAUCAAGAAGAGUGAAAAGUCUAAGAUUGGGGAUGCCCUCGCGGUUCAUCCCUGCAUAUUUCAAGAAGACUCAAACAUCUAAGCUUGGGGAUGCCCAAGGCAUCCCCUUCUUCAUCAACAACUUAUCAGAAAUCCUACACAGGAAAUAUUCUCGGAAUUGGACGAAACAAAAGCCCACGGUCUUAUUUUCCACCGAGUCUUCCAGAACACCGAAGAGGAGACGAAGAGGGGCCACGAGGCGGCCACAACAUAGGGGGGCGCGGCCCCACCCUGGCCGCACCGCCAUAUGGGGUGGGCCCCUCGGGCGUCCCUCGACUCUGUCCCUUCGCCUAUAUAAUCCUACCGUCGCGAAAACCCUAGUACCGAGAGCCACGAUACGAGAAAAGUUCCACAGACGCCGCCGCCGUCAAUCCCAUCUCGGGGGAUUCUGAAGAUCACCUCCGGUACCCUGCCGGAGAGGGGAAUCAUCACCGGAGGGCUCUACAUCACCAUGCCUGCCUCCGGACGGAUGCAUGAGUAGUUCAUCCUUGGACUAUGGGUCCAUAGCAGUAGCUAGAUGGUUGUCUUCUCCUCUUGUGCCAUCAUGUUUACAUCUUGUGAUCUACCUAUCAUGAUCAAGAUAAUCUAUUUGUAAUGCUACAUGUUGUGUUUGUUGGGAUCUGAUGAAUAUGGAAUACUAUGUCAAUUUGAUAAUUGAUCUAUCAUAUAUGUGUUGUUUA